UACAGAGGGGGCAAGCGUUAUUCGGAAUUAUUGGGCGUAAAGGGCGCGUAGGCGGCCUGGCAAGUGGAAGGUGAAAUCCCUCGGCUUAACCGAGGAACUGCCCUCCAAACUGCUUGGCUUGAGUCCGGGAGAGGUGAGUGGAAUUCCCAGUGUAGCGGUGAAAUGCGUAGAGAUGUGGAGGAACACCAGUGGCGAAGGCGACUCUUUGGUCUGUAACUGACGCUGAGGCGCGAAAGCGUGGGGAGCAAACAGG
rnacentral:rRNA from 1 species